UACGUAGGUGACAAGCGUUGUCCGGAUUUACUGGGCGUAAAGAGCGCGCAGGCGGUCGUUCAAGUCGAGUGUGAAAGCCCCCGGCUCAACUGGGGAGGGUCACUCGAUACUGAUCGACUCGAAGGCAGGAGAGGGUAGUGGAAUUCCCGGUGUAGUGGUGAAAUGCGUAGAUAUCGGGAGGAACACCAGUGGCGAAGGCGACUUACUGGACACAUAUUGACGCUGAGGUGCGAAAGCGUGGGGAGCAAACAGG
rnacentral:rRNA from 1 species